rnacentral:tRNA from 1 species
GGGACCAUGUGGGGGCAUGAACCAGGUUCUCGUUCGCAAUGAGAAGGUCGCAGGUUCGAAUCCUGUCGGCUCCACCA